UAGGGAAUCUUCCGCAAUGGGCGAAAGCCUGACGGAGCAACGCCGCGUGAGUGAUGAAGGUCUUCGGAUCGUAAAACUCUGUUAUUAGGGAAGAAUAAAUGUGUAAGUAACUAUGCACGUCUUGACGGUACCUAAUCAGAAAGCCACGGCUAACUACGUGCCAGCAGCCGCGGUAAUACGUAGGUGGCAAGCGUUAUCCGGAAUUAUUGGGCGUAAAGCGCGCGUAGGCGGUUUUUUAAGUCUGAUGUGAAAGCCCACGGCUCAACCGUGGAGGGUCAUUGGAAACUGGAAAACUUGAGUGCAGAAGAGGAAAGUGGAAUUCCAUGUGUAGCGGUGAAAUGCGCAGAGAUAUGGAGGAACACCAGUGGCGAAGGCGACUUUCUGGUAUGUAACUGACGCUGAUGUGCGAAAGCGUGGGGAUCAAACAGG
rnacentral:rRNA from 1 species